rfam:Schistosoma haematobium scaffold100_15, whole genome shotgun sequence.
AUCCAGUUGACAAGUCCCAAAUAGGACGAAACGCGUGUCCUGGAU